rnacentral:rRNA from 1 species
CCUACGGGUGGCAGCAGUGAGGAAUAUUGGUCAAUGGGCGCGAGCCUGAACCAGCCAAGUAGCGUGAAGGAUGACUGCCCUACGGGUUGUAAACUUCUUUUGCCGGGGAGCAGAGGUCCGGACGUGUCCGGGCCGGGAGAGUACCCGGAGAAAAAGCAUCGGCUAACUCCGUGCCAGCAGCCGCGGUAAUACGGAGGAUGCGAGCGUUAUCCGGAUUUAUUGGGUUUAAAGGGAGCGGAGGUGGAUUGUUAAGGCAGUUGUGAAAGUUUGCGGCUCAACCGUAAAAUUGCAGUUGAAACUGGCAGUCUUGAGUACAGUAGAGGUGGGCGGAAUUCGUGGUGUAGCGGUGAAAUGCUUAGAUAUCACGAAGAACUCCGAUUGCGAAGGCAGCUCACUGGACUGCAACUGACACUGAGGCUCGAGAGUGUGGGUAUCAAACAGGAUUAGAUACCCCUGUAGUC